rnacentral:rRNA from 1 species
GAUGAACGCUAGCUACAGGCUUAACACAUGCAAGUCGAGGGGUAGCAGGGUAGCAAUACCGCUGACGACCGGCGCACGGGUGAGUAACACGUAUCCAACCUUCCCAUAACUCGGGGAUAGCCUUUCGAAAGAAAGAUUAAUACCCGAUAGUACUUAUAUAGGGCAUCCUACAUAAGUUAAAGAUUUAUUGGUUAUGGAUGGGGAUGCGUUCCAUUAGAUAGUUGGUGAGGUAACGGCUCACCAAGUCUUCGAUGGAUAGGGGUUCUGAGAGGAAGGUCCCCCACAUUGGUACUGAGACACGGCCCAAACUCCUACGGGAGGCAGCAGUGAGGAAUAUUGGUCAAUGGGCGAGAGCCUGAACCAUCCAAGUAGCGUGAAGGAUGAAGGUCCUAUGGAUUGUAAACUUCUUUUAUAGUAGAAUAAAGUGAUCCACGUGUGGAUUUUUGUAUGUAUACUAUGAAUAAGGAUCGGCUAACUCCGUGCCAGCAGCCGCAGUAA